rnacentral:rRNA from 1 species
GGCCCGGUUGGACGGUCUGCCCUCGGGCAUGUACUGUCCUGACUGGGUCUUCCCUUCUGGUGAGCUGUCGUGUUGUUUACUCAGUGCGGCAGGGAACCAGGACUUUUACUUUGAAAAAAUUAGAGUGUUUCAGGCAGGCAAUUGCUUGGAUACUGCAGCAUGGAAUAAUGGAAUAGGACUUUGACCUAUUUGUUGGUUUCUCGAGGUCAAAGUA